AGGCCCUUCCCGCGCGGUCUCAUCUGGGGCCACUUGUUGGCCCUGGCGUUGGGGAGGUUCAUGUGGUGGAUCCUGAUGAGAAGGGGGGUCACAGGGGUCUCGGGGCCAGGGUUCAGCCAGCCAGGCCCCAGCUUGCUCUCUUCUGGUGCUGCCCCUGUCCCUGAAUUCAUAGACCCGGCUUUCCCUCUCUUGAGCACCUACUAUGUGCCAGGCUGCGCUUUGCGCAUGUAGCAGAGGCAACAGUGUCACCUGGGAAGCUGCUUUCCCCCAAAGGAACUCUUGUCUGUCCGUUGUUGCAGAGCCAGCGCAUGAGACCAAGUAUGGAGUCUCACUCUGUCAUCCAGACUGGAGUGCAAUGGUGUGAUCUCGGCUCACUGCAACCUUUGGUUCCUGGGUUCAAGCCACUGUCCUGCCUCAGCCUCCCAAGUAGCUGGGACUACAGGCUUGGCAGACAUAAAAUUACUCUGUUGAAAUCACUAAAAAAUUUAUAAAUGCUUACUCUCAAUCUGUGCAUUUUGCUGUGGAUUAUGGACUGGCACCAGUUCCUGGAGCAACUUUGAGUAGCGCUGCCCUGGUUGGGGAAUGUUUAUUAAGCAGGGUGAUUCCAGUCUCACAGAAUGAGUUGGGAAGCAUCUGCUGCUUUUAUCUUCUGAAAGAGAUUGUAGAGAAUUGGUAACCUGGAUCCCAAAAUGAGAACUGAAGAACCACUUCAUGUGACUUGAACCAGAUCUGACAUCUGAAGUGAAGCCCAGAAGAGUGUAGCUGAAGACAAGUGAACCUACUUGACCUGCAAACGCACAUAUCAAAGGGCCCGCUGGCUACUAAGGAAGAUGAAUGAAGAAAGGGCCCAUACAUGGACACCUACUUCAUAGUAAAAUUUGAGGACAUGAAGUACAAAGAGGACAUUCUGAACACUUCAAGAGACAGCACCCUUAGCUAGGCAUGCAGACAGGAUCUCACUGUCACCCAGGCUGGAGUACAGUGGCUCGAUCUUGGCUCACUGCAACCUCUGCUUCUCAGGCCCAAGCAAUUCUCCCACCUCAGCCUCUCAAGUAGCUAGGGCCACAGGUGUAAGCCACCAUGCCCAGCUAAUUUUUUUUUGUAUUCUUUGUAUAGAUGGGGUUUCACCAUGUUGCCCAGGCUGGUCUCAAACUCCUGAGCUCAAAGUGACCCUCCCACUUCGGCCUCCCAAAGUGCCCAGCUCCAUCUUAGGUUUUGCAGCAAUCACCCUGGGUACACAUAUGGAGAAUGGAAUGAAGAGGUCUCUUCUUCAGUUUCUUGGACACAGUGUUGGAGUCAACAGGGAUGUGGCACAACAGGGACUUCACCCAAUGCAGAUUCCAUUUGAGAAACUGGGCCUCCAGCUUGUUCUACCAGUCAUGUGCUGGUCCUCCCAGGGCCCUGCUCUGUGCCCCCAACCCAGCUCUAGCCUCAAACUCCACCUGGGCCUAACUGUCUAGAGUGCUAGGAUACCCUUCAAUCCUCAGCAACUGGGUCAACAGGGAGGAGAAGGAAGUGAAGAGCAGGCAUGAUGGAAGACAGAACACUACCAUGAAGUUAGGCUGACCCCUUGUCCAUCUACAAAAGAGUGACAAACUCAGGUGUGGGUAAACCUAUCAGGAGCCGUUUAGGAGUUAAUGCAGAAAGCCAGGCAGGCAUUGGCAUCAGAGGUCUUGGAGAAAGACUUUUUCUUAACAUCACUUUUUUUUUUUUUUUUUUUUUUGAUACAGAGUCUUGCUCUGUUGCCCAGGCUGGAGUGCAAUGGCGUGAUCUUGGCUCACUGCAACCUCUGCCUCCCUGGCUCAAGUGAUUCUCCUGCCUCAGCCUCCCGAGUAGCUGGGACUACAGGCACAUGCAAGCAUGCCUGACUAAUUUUUUUUUUUUGUAUUUUUAGUAGAAACAGGGUUUCACCACGUUGAUCAGGCUGGUCUCGAACCUCAAAUUAUCCUGCCUGCCUCAGGAUCCCAAAGUUAAUGCUACUUCUCAAUACCGCUAUCAUCUAAUGCUAAAUACAUGGCUCUUCAUUCUGUCUUCAUUCUGGCAUUACCCAGGAAGCUUUUGAGAUUUCAGAAGUCUGGUCCCCACACCCAGAGACUGGGAAUUAAUUGGUCUGGAGUAGGGCCUGGGCACUAGCAUUUUUGAAAAACUCCCCAGGUAAUUCUUUUUUGUUUUUCUUUUUGAGACAGAGUCUUACUAUAUUGCCCAGGCUGGAGUGCAGUGGCAUGAUCUCAGCCCACUGCAGCCUUGACCUCCCGGGCUCAAGCAAUCCUCUCACCUGUUUGAAAUGCUUGUUCCCCGGUGCCAUAAAGAAAUAGCACUUGAACAUAAAUUUAAUUUAUUUAGUAAGGCCAUUUUUACUUCCUGCAGAAAGGGUACACUCGCCAGCAGUUUCGCCACGAGAAUACACCGAACAAAGGAGACAGGGUCAUUUGCAACCUGAUGCGUCCGCCCUACUGCUAUGUCUGGUUUCCGUUGGCUGGAACGGGACCUUACAUUCUGUAUCUGUCCGACUGGCUAGCAACUUAGGACUUUUUAAAAGAGGCAAAGGUAGAGGAGAACAAAGGAAGGAGGAGGUAACUUGUGGAAUGCUGAGAAAGGUAAAAGCACUUUUAAAUAAGGAAGAGGAGCAGGCUAUGACCUAAUGCUUGCUUGGACCAGUAUAAGCAUGCCAGGGCAAAUAUUUAGGUGCCCAGGUUUUUGAAUAAAUUUUGCUUCUAAGAGAAGUUACCAUUUAUUCCUAAUUAGACGGGGAGGGAAGUCUUUGAAGAGGAACCUCUACUUUACUUUUUACACACCUCAGCCUCCUGAGUGGCUGGGACUAUGCAUGUGCACCACCACACUCAGUUAAUUUUUAAAUAUUUUUGUAGACAUGAGAUUUCACCAUGUUGCCCAGGCUGCUCUCGAACUCCUGGGCUCAAGUGAUCUGCCCUCCUGGGCCUCCCAAAGUGCUGGGAUUUCAGGUGUGAGCCACUGCGCCCAGCUCCCCAGGUAAUUCUAAUGGAUAAGUACUGACGGUUGUGGAAACUACUGGCCUAAUGAAAGUAGGAUUUAGGGUCAGCAGGACUGGGGGCUCUAGCUCUGGCAGAAAACUAGAAUAUGAGACAGGAAAAGAAAACACAAACCUCAUCCCAGUAACUAGGCCAUCCUAGAUAAGUUUGGUGAUUUCUUCCAGACCCAUGGGUUAUAGUCUAUUUCAGAUUUUCUUUUCCCACCAAGUGAUAAGGCUGAGGUUCCUAGUGGAUCUCUAGAUAAGGGCACUGGUGAUUUUCAAAUGUUCCUCCUGCCUCAGCCUCCUGAGUAGCUGGGACUACAGGUGCGUACCACAAUGCUGGGCUAAUUUUUUAUUUUAUUUCUUGUAGUGAUGGAAUCUUACUAUGUUGCCCAGGCUGCUCUUGAACUUGUGGGCUCAGGUGAUUCUCCCCCUUCAGCCUCCCAAAAUGCUAGGAUUACAGGCAUGAGCCACCAUGUCAGAGGCGUGUGAACCAGAGCAACUCCAUCUUAAAUAGGAGCUGGGUAAAAUGAAGCUGUUGGAGUAGCCAUUCUUUUACUCCUUUACUUUCUUAAUAAACUUGCUUUCACUUUG